UUGGGACUUAUUCAAGCAGGCGUUUUAUGACUACAGAGCUUGAUUUUGGAGAAAUGAUUGUUGAUUUUGUGAGCAUUUGGACUAGAUGGAUAUUAAGAUACCAUUCAACUUCAUUCCAUGAUUCUAUACUCAACUUAUAGUCUACCAGAGCCCAAGACACUGAAGGAUCACUUUUUGGGAGUCCUGGUUAUGUCUUUGUGUGAAGAUAUUUGAUUCAAACUCCCAUGUUCCUCAAGACCUCUGAUUUUGAUAUUUGUCCCAACAAAGCCCUUUAAAUCUUGGUGUAUAGGCCAUUUUGGAUUGACAGAUGCCUCCAAGACCUUGAGUAAAUGAAACUGCUUUCUUUGCUCUGUGAAGAUAAGCAAUUUCACUCCCCGGUCUGAAUAGCAUGGCACUGACGAACAGCUGUGAAUGAAUCAAGUACAGGGUAAACAUACAAGACAGCAAAUGAUUUUGAAGCUCAACAGCCCACGAACAAUAACUGUAAUUAAACUCAAUAAAGAACAAGAAAAGAGAAAAGAUGCAGAGUAGAAAAAACAACAGUAACAACAACAACAAAACACCACCACAAUAGCAGAACAGCCUGGAAAGAUAGAAGGAAACCAGGAGAACACCAGAGAAUUACUACAGCCGCUUUGCUUUACAUUCACCAUAAUUGGUCAUUUUAUAUAUCUAAUAUUAUUUUUCCUCCCAAGGGAUCUAAAGCCUCAA